rnacentral:tRNA from 1 species
UCCCUGGUGGUUCAGUGGUUUAAGACUCCUCACUUCUGCUGCAGGGGGCCCAGGUUCAAUUCCUGGUUGGGGAA